CCUACGGGAGGCUGCAGUGGGGAAUAUUGGACAAUGGGCGAAAGCCUGAUCCAGCCAUGCCGCGUGUGUGAAGAAGGCCUUCGGGUUGUAAAGCACUUUCAGUGGGGAAGAAAGCCUUGGGGCUAAUACCCUCGAGGAAGGACAUCACCCACAGAAGAAGCACCGGCUAACUCCGUGCCAGCAGCCGCGGUAAUACGGAGGGUGCGAGCGUUAAUCGGAAUUACUGGGCGUAAAGCGCGCGUAGGCGGUCUGAUAAGCCGGUUGUGAAAGCCCCGGGCUCAACCCGGGGAACGGCAUCCGGAACUGUCGGGCUAGAGUGCAGGAGAGGAAGGUAGAAUUCCCGGUGUAGCGGUGAAAUGCGUAGAGAUCGGGAGGAAUACCAGUGGCGAAGGCGGCCUUCUGGACUGAAACUGACGCUGAGGUGCGAAAGCGUGGGUAGCAAACAGGAUUAGAUACCCGAGUAGU
rnacentral:rRNA from 1 species